UCAGCCGGUACUCGCGAAUGCCUCUAGGAUUUAAGUUUGAUCAUGGCUCAGAGCGAACGCUGUACGGCAGGCCUAACACAUGCAAGUCGAACGAACUCUUCGGAGUUAGUGGCGGACGGGUGAGUAACACGUGGGAACGUGCCUUUAGGUUCGGAAUAACUCAGGGAAACUUGUGCUAAUACCGAAUGUGCCCUUCGGGGGAAAGAUUUAUCGCCUUUAGAGCGGCCCGCGUCUGAUUAGCUAGUUGGUAGUGUAAUGGACUACCAAGGCGACGAUCAGUAGCUGGUCUGAGAGGAUGAUCAGCCACAUUGGGACUGAGGCACGGCCCAAACUCCUACGGGAGGCAGCAGUGGGGAAUCUUGCGCAAUGGGCGAAAGCCUGACGCAGCCAUGCCGCGUGAAUGAUGAAGGUCUUAGGAU
rnacentral:rRNA from 1 species